rnacentral:rRNA from 1 species
UACAGAGGUCUCAACCGUUGUUCGGAUUCAUUGGGCGUAAAGGGUGCGUAGGCGGCGGGGCAAGUCUGAUGUGAAAUCCCGGGGCUCAACCCCGGAACUGCAUUGGAUACUGCCUUGCUUGAGUACUGGAGAGGGAACUGGAAUUUACGGUGUAGCAGUGAAAUGCGUAGAGAUCGUAAGGAAGGCCAGUGGCGAAGGCGAGUUCCUGGACAGUUACUGUCGCUGAGGCACGAAGGCCAGGGGAGCAAACGGG